rnacentral:misc_RNA from 1 species
UCGCUUACACAAUUGAAUAUUUUGGUAUUUGCAGCUUCUGGGUUCUCAACAGCCAGUGUAAGCAUAGUGGACAAGUCCCUGACAUGGGCGAUAUUAGUUAGUUGCAUCCCAGAGCCAGGUAUUGGCACUGGCCUUUCCCGGACAAUCCCUGUUUAGAGCAGAUCAUCAUAAAAGUUUAUCCAUGGAUAUUGUAUAAAAUUUGCAUAAGUUUGAGUUUCUACUGACGAUCAAAAAACCACUCCUCACAA